AUUGAACGCUGGCGGCAGGCCUAACACAUGCAAGUCGAGCGGAUGAAGGGAGCUUGCUCCUGGAUUCAGCGGCGGACGGGUGAGUAAUGCCUAGGAAUCUGCCUGGUAGUGGGGGAUAACGUCCGGAAACGGGCGCUAAUACCGCAUACGUCCUAAGGGAGAAAGUGGGGGAUCUUCGGACCUCACGCUAUCAGAUGAGCCUAGGUCGGAUUAGCUAGUUGGUGGGGUAAAGGCCUACCAAGGCGACGAUCCGUAACUGGUCUGAGAGGAUGAUCAGUCACACUGGAACUGAGACACGGUCCAGACUCCUACGGGAGGCAGCAGUGGGGAAUAUUGGACAAUGGGCGAAAGCCUGAUCCAGCCACGCCGCGUGUGUGAAGAAGGUCUUCGGAUUGUAAAGCACUUUAAGUUGGGAGGAAGGGCAGUAAGUUAAUACCUUGCUGUUUUGACGUUACCAACAGAAUAAGCACCGGCUAACUUCGUG
rnacentral:rRNA from 1 species